rnacentral:snRNA from 13 species
AGCUUUGCACAGUGGCAGUAUCAAAGCCAAUGAGGUUUAUCCGAGGUGUGAUUCUUACUAAUUGAAAAAAAACAUAUUGCGUUUGUUUGUUCAAUAUUCAUAACCUUUUUACAGUGGACCUGCUGGGUGUUAGGUUC